GAAUUGCAGAAUUCCGCGAAUCAUUGAGUUUUUGAACGCAAGUUGCGCCCGAGGCUCGUUCCGAGGGCAUGCCUGCCUGAGCGUCCG
rnacentral:rRNA from 1 species